rnacentral:lncRNA from 13 species
GAAAAUUCUCUAAAGGAUUAUUUCAGCUUCCCUUUUUCAACUGUUCAGUUGCCAUGCCUGCUGAUACCAGGUAGAGCUCAGAAUAUCCAGGCUCCUAAUUCCAGAACAGGGUCUUGCUCGUCGCCCAGGCUGGAGUGCUGUUGCAUGAUCACGGCUCACUGCAACCUCUGCCUCUUGGGUCCAAGCAAUUCUUGUGCUUCAGCCACCAUACCAUCACAUUACAGGCUUGAAACAAAGUGUGUAAAUUUUCCAUGGUCUGGUGGCAAAUUUACUAUCAGCUCUGCGGGAAGUGAUUUUCAAAUAUUCAUUAGAAUAAACAAAGUAACAAAAUUUCUAAAUAUGACGUGUGGCAUUUAUAGUAUGAAGUUAAGAACAAAAAUUAAAAAUGCUUCUGUUUGACGACUACUAUUUGCACUUCCCUUCUGCUGAGGUCACUCUCCAUGGCUUUGAGGUCUGCUUUCCAAGGUAAAAAGGAUCUUUGUUUCUUUCUAAAGUGUUGGUAGUGGUUGUCUCCAUUCAGCACUUCGUUUUAUUAUUUUUUAACUGCCAAAUAAAUAAACAAUGACAGUGUAGCA